GAUUGAACGCUGGCGGCGUGCUUAACACAUGCAAGUCGAGCGGCAGCGGGCCCGCAAGGGUGCCGGCGAGCGGCGGACGGGUGAGCAAUACAUAGGAAUCUGCCUCAGAGCGGGGGGAUAGCCAGGGGGAAACCCUGAUUAAUACCGCAUGACGUCGAGAGACCAAAGGUGGGGGACCGUAAGGCCCCACACUCUGAGAUGAGCCUAUGUCGGAUUAGC
rnacentral:rRNA from 1 species